GUGGGGAAUAUUGGGCAAUGGGCGAAAGCCUGACCCAGCAACGCCGCGUGAGGGAAGAAGGCCUUCGGGUUGUAAACCUCUGUCCUUGGUGACGAAACAAAUGACGGUAGCCAAGGAGGAAGCCCCGGCUAACUACGUGCCAGCAGCCGCGGUAAUACGUAGGGGGCGAGCGUUGUCCGGAAUUACUGGGCGUAAAGGGUGCGUAGGUGGCCUUUUAAGUUGGAUGUGAAAUACUCGGGCUUAACUUGGGGGGUGCAUCUAAUACUGGAGGGCUAGAGUGCAGGAGAGGGAAGCGGAAUGCCUAGUGUAGCGGUGAAAUGCGUAGAUAUUAGGAGGAACACCAGUGGCGAAGGCGGCUUUCUGGACUGUAACUGACACUGAGGCACGAAAGCGUGGGGAGCAAACAGGAUUAGAUACCCUGGUAGUCC
rnacentral:rRNA from 1 species